AUUGAACGCUGGCGGCAGGCCUAACACAUGCAAGUCGAACGGUAACAGGAAGACGCUUGCUUCUUUGCUGACGAGAGGCGGACGGGUGAGUAAUGUCUGGGAAACUGCCUGAUGGAGGGGGAUAACUACUGGAAACGGUAGCUAAUACCGCAUAACGUCGCAAGACCGAAGAGGGGGACCUUCGGGCCUCUUGCCAUCGGAUGUGCCCAGAUGGGAUUAGCUAGUAGGUGGGGUAACGGCUCACCUAGGCGACGAUCCCUAGCUGGUCUGAGAGGAUGACCAGCCACACUGGAACUGAGACACGGUCCAGACUCCUACGGGAGGCAGCAGUGGGGAAUAUUGCACAAUGGGCGCAAGCCUGAUGCAGCCAUGCCGCGUGUAUGAAGAAGGCCUUCGGGUUGUAAAGUACUUUCAGCGGGGAGGAAGGGAGUAAAGUUAAUACCUUUGCUCAUUGACGUUACCCGCAGAAGAAGCACCGGCUAACUCCGUG
rnacentral:rRNA from 1 species